UUGGCGGACGGGUGAGUAACGCGUGGGUAACCUGCCUCACACUGGGGGAUAACAGUUAGAAAUAGCUGCUAAUACCGCAUAAGCGCACGGUUCCGCAUGGAACAGUGUGAAAAACUCCGGUGGUGUGAGAUGGACCCGCGUCUGAUUAGCCAGUUGGCGGGGUAACGGCCCACCAAAGCGACGAUCAGUAGCCGGCCUGAGAGGGUGAACGGCCACAUUGGGACUGAGACACGGCCCAA
rnacentral:rRNA from 1 species